rnacentral:rRNA from 1 species
UACCUGGUUGAUCCUGCCAGUAGCAUNUGCUUGYCUCAAAGAUUAAGCCAUGCCUCUCUAAGUACGCACGGCCGGUACAGUGAAACUGAGAAUGGCUCAUUAAAYCAGYUAUGGUNCCUUNGGUCGCUCGCUCCUCUCCUACUUGGAUAACUGUGGUANUUCUAGAGCUAANACAUGCCGACGGNGCUGACCCCCUUUGUGCGGGAUGCGUGCAUUUAUCAGAUCAAAACCAACCCCCGUCAGUUUCCCCCCGGCCCCGCCGYYYYGGUGGGCUCGGCGGCUCUGGUGACUCUAGAUAACCUCGGGCCGAUCGCAYGCUCGUGCCGAAAUUCGAACGUCUGCCCUAUCAACUUUCGAUGGCAGUCGCCGUGUCUACCAUGGUGACCACGGGUGACGGGGA